GGAGGAUCAUUAUCGUAGGGCUUCGGCCCUGUCGAGAUAGAACCCUUGCCUUUUUGAGUACCUUUCGUUUCCUCGGCAGGCUCGCCUGCCAAUGGGGACCACAAAAAACACUUUGCAGUACCUGUAACAGUCUGAACAAACAAAACAAAAAUUAAAACUUUCAACAACGGAUCUCUUGGUUCUGGCAUCGAUGAAGAACGCAGCGAAAUGCGAUAAGUAGUGUGAAUUGCAGGAUUCAGUGAAUCAUCGAAUCUUUGAACGCACAUUGCGCCCUUUGGUAUUCCUUAGGGCAUGCCUGUUCGAGCGUCAUUUAAACCUUCAAGCUAAGCUUGGUGUUGGGUGACUGUCCGCUUCACUGCGGACUCGCCUCAAAAUUAUUGGCGGCCGGUACAUUGGCUUCGAGCGCAGCAGAAACGCGAACUCGGGCCCGUCGUAUUGGCUCCCAGAAGCUAUCUUCACAAUUUUGACCUCGGAUCAGGUAGGGAUACCCGCUGAACUUAAGCAUAUCAAUAAGCGGAGGA
rnacentral:rRNA from 1 species